rnacentral:rRNA from 1 species
AUUGAACGCUGGCGGAAUGCUUUACACAUGCAAGUCGAACGGCAGCACGGGGGCAACCCUGGUGGCGAGUGGCGAACGGGUGAGUAAUACAUCGGAACGUGCCCAGUCGUGGGGGAUAACUACGCGAAAGCGUAGCUAAUACCGCAUACGAUCUAAGGAUGAAAGCGGGGGACCGUAAGGCCUCGCGCGAUUGGAGCGGCCGAUGGCAGAUUAGGUAGUUGGUGGGGUAAAGGCNCACCAAGCCGACGAUCUGUAGCUGGUCUGAGAGGACGACCAGCCACACUGGGACUGAGACACGGCCCAGACUCCUACGGGAGGCAGCAGUGGGGAAUUUUGGACAAUGGGCGCAAGCCUGAUCCAGCCAUUCCGCGUGCA